GACGAACGCUGGCGGCGUGCCUAAUACAUGCAAGUCGAGCGGACAGAUGGGAGCUUGCUCCCUGAAGUCAGCGGCGGACGGGUGAGUAACGCGUGGGCAACCUGCCUGUAAGACUGGGAUAACUUCGGGAAACCGGAGCUAAUACCGGAUAACACCGAGGACCUCAUGGUCCUUGGUUGAAAGAUGGCUUCGGCUAUCACUUACAGAUGGGCCCGCGGCGCAUUAGCUAGUUGGUGAGGUAACGGCUCACCAAGGCGACGAUGCGUAGCCGACCUGAGAGGGUGAUCGGCCACACUGGGACUGAGACACGGCCCAGACUCCUACGGGAGGCAGCAGUAGGGAAUCUUCCACAAUGGACGAAAGUCUGAUGGAGCAACGCCGCGUGAGCGAUGAAGGCCUUCGGGUCGUAAAGCUCUGUUGUUAGGGAAGAACAAGUACCGGAGUAACUGCCGGUACCUUGACGGUACCUAACCAGAAAGCCACGGCUAACUACGUGCUAGCCGCCGCCGUAAUAC
rnacentral:rRNA from 1 species